rnacentral:lncRNA from 1 species
GGAUCCCUGCAGCCUUCUACGAAACUGCAACCUUUAUCCAUGCUUGUCACCUCGUGCACUUCCUCCACUCAUGCCCAUCUCCAAAGCCUCCUUCCUCACCCUCCAUUGAUUCCAGAUCAGAUCAAAUGUUCUCUUGGGCAUGGAGACUCCCUUGAGCAUGGAUUCUUGGGCAGCCACACAAAGGAGGUACCCCCUUGGAUGGGGCGCCCACAUGAUGGGGUGCCUCCCUUUUCCAAACCCUAGGGCGGCUAGGGCUUGUGGGGGGCACCCCCCCUAGGGCUCCUUGCUGCUUGAAAGACCAGAG